CAGCCGCCGCGGUAAUACGAAGGGUGCAAGCGUUAAUCGGAAUUACUGGGCGUAAAGCGUGCGCAGGCGGAUCUGUAAGUCAGUGAUGAAAUCUCCAGGCUUAACCUGGAAACUGCCGUUGAUACUAUAGGUCUUGAAUUUGUGGAGGUUAGCGGAAUAUGUCAUGUAGCGGUGAAAUGCAUAGAUAUGACAUAGAACACCAAUUGCGAAGGCAGCUGGCUACACAACUAUUGACGCUGAGGCACGAAAGCGUGGGGAUCAAACAGGAUUAGAUACCCCCGUAGUCCCUGUCUCUUAUACA
rnacentral:rRNA from 1 species